UACGAGGGGGGCGAGCGUUGUUCGGAAUUAUUGGGCGUAAGGGUGCGUAGGCGGUUUGGUAAGUCCGUUGUGAAAACUCGAGGCUCAACCUCGAGACGCCGAUGGAAACCAUUUGGCUAGAGUCCGGAAGAGGAGAGUGGAAUUCCUGGUGUAGCGGUGAAAUGCGCAGAUAUCAGGAAGAACACCCGUGGCUAAGGCGGCUCUCUAGUACGGUACUGACGCUGAGACGCGAAAGCGUGGGGAGCGAACAGG
rnacentral:rRNA from 1 species